rnacentral:lncRNA from 1 species
CUAUUUCUUCCCGUUUUCUGUGUGUCACUCCAACAAUAACCAUUUUUUUUGUCAACUUAAUAUGUAAGUAAACUAGUGGUUGAAGCAAAACCCCUUUGUGUAAAGUCGUUAUUAGCUUCUGAACGAGACACCGAGUGCAGCUCUUUUGUAUGGGACAUAUUGGUAAUGGCCACCGCCUCCGACGGCUUCUGAAAUUCAGAUCAUGGUCUGCGGUGGGAGGAGC